rnacentral:rRNA from 1 species
UACGUAGGGGGCUAGCGUUGUCCGGAAUCAUUGGGCGUAAAGCGCGUGUAGGCGGUCCGGUAAGUCCGCUGUGAAAGUCGGGGGCUCAACCCUCGAAUGCCGGUGGAUACUGUCGGGCUAGAGUGCGGAAGAGGCGAGUGGAAUUCCUGGUGUAGCGGUGAAAUGCGCAGAUAUCAGGAGGAACACCGAUGGCGAAGGCAGGUCUCUGGGCCACUACUGACGCUGAGAAGCGAAAGCGUGGGGAGCGAACAGG